UAUAGCUGGCUGUGAAAAUGUUCCAUUAAGAAAGUGUUUGAAGCAUUUUGGAAAUAGGAUAAUGAAGGCGAGAGGUCAGUGAAGUGAAUCACCCAGUAAUCAAGGUCAAAAUAUUGAAUGUGUUACAUCUUAUGUGAUGUUUUAGAUAUAACGUGAAGGAAGAUUAAUUUUUGUGAAUCCUAAGUAAUUGAAGAAAAUCUGUUUUAGCUAUAUGGAUCACAGUCUUUUUUUUUCUUUAAAAUAAUAAUCAUUUCUGAUGCUGAAUUUUAUUUUGUUGCUUGGUUGCCGACAUACUGUAGGGUAGGUUAACUGAGUUGGUUGCCAAUCUGGUUCAUUAGUUGAUGUGUUCACCUGAACACAAAUUUUUCGAUAGGGGCACAAGGCAGUUGCCUAAUAUACAAGUCCCUUACUCAUUCCUCUAGGUGCACCAAUAUUUGCCGAUUUAGGGAUUAUGUAAUUGUGUAUUUAGAAAACAUAAGGGAUGGAGGCUAGCCAUUGGCUAGCCCAUUGGCCUCAAUAUUAAACUUCUAGGAAUAUCUUUAAGUAAUUGUAACGCUUUAAGGUAUUGUGAUCAACGUAUGUGAUCAACGUACCCUAUGCACUUUUUGAUGUAAAUAA